UCGAGCGGCAGCGGGAAGUUGCUUGUUAUUUUUGCCGGCGAGCGGCGGAGGGGUGAUUAAUGCCUGGGUCUUUGCGGGGUCGAGGGGGAUAACAGGUGGACUCAUCCGCUAAUCCCGCAUAAGCCCUAGGGGGGAGAUCGGGGGACCUUGAGCUCUUGCGCGUGUGUGUGUCCCCUUGUGGGAUUAGCGAGGUGGUGGGGUAAGGGCUCAACGAGGCGAAUAUCCCUAGCUGGUCUGAGAAGAAUAUCUGCCACUGUGACACUGACACACCGCCCACACUCCUACGGGAGGCAGCAGUGGGGAAUAUUGCACUGUGCGGGAACCCCUGAUGCCCCCAUGCCGCGUGUGUGAAUAGGGUUUUCGGGUUGUAUACCACUUUCUGCGACGAAGAAAGGUCAGUAUCUUAUAUCUUCGGGCUGACACGUUACUCACAAAAAAACCACCCGCUAUCUCCGUGCCAGCACCCGCUAUAAUACGGAGGGUGCACGCUUUAAUCAGAAUUACUGGGCGUAACGCGCACACGUGCUGUUUGAUAUGUUAUAUGUGAAACCCCCGCUCUCCCCCUGAAAAUUGCAUUUAAAUCUGUCGAGCUAGAGUCUUGUAGAGGGGGGUACAUUUCUAGGUGUAACGUUGAUAUGCAUAUAGAUCUGGACGAAUACCGGUGGCAAACGCCGCCCCCUGGACAAAACACUGACGCUCGCGUGCGAAGCCCGUGGGGAGCGAAUAGAAACAUA
rnacentral:rRNA from 1 species